GCGAGUAUGGCCCUCACGGGUCUAAUCCACCACAAACACCUUUGUGAACCAGUCAGGGGGACUCGGCCGUGAAAGCCCAGGCGAUUAGCUGGAAGGGCCCUCCUUUGCAAACCCGUUUAGAAGUCUUGAAAGUACUUUUGUAUAAUCUAGUA
rnacentral:misc_RNA from 1 species